GUGGCCCCAAGUCAGGCGAGGCCACCCCCC
rnacentral:rRNA from 1 species